rnacentral:lncRNA from 1 species
UAUCUUAGACCAAUUAUUAUUAAAAGAAAAUAUCUCCAGUUUCUCACAUCUCACAUAGAACAAUCUCUUCUUGUGGUAGAACAAAUCGCUAUCGACUCAAACCUUGCUGCUGAGACCACCACAGCCUGUAUGUCGAUUUCUAGGGAGCCAUGUUAUGCUAAGAAAAAUUGAGGAGGUUUGAGAUCUCAUUUUCUCUUUAUUUUUAAUCGUAGAAUUGAUUAUUGCUUUAAAGUUUCUCUUAAUUCUUUAAUGACGGUUUUGAAAUCAAAUUAACCUCAUUUUGUUUUCUUUUAUUUAUUUUGUAGUCAUAAUCAUUUUCAAUUUCAGUUAAUUUGGCAAAUUUUGCAUCCUGACAAGUGCGACAUUAUGGUUGUAUGCAAAUAUAUAUUUUUUUUAAAAAAUAUGAUUAGAUUAUUAAUUAGAUCAAUUUCUUUAGGCUGACAGUAUGAAAAGAAACGGAAAAACAAAUGGGUUUUAGUGAUAUCGAGUACAAGCGGUGGAUGCCAACUGUUUUUUAUAAUGGUAUAAUAGAAUAAGCUUGUUUAAUAUUAAGGUUGAACAGUUGUAAUUUAAAAAGUAAAGUAUACAAAGUGUUUGGUAAAUAUUAGUUGUUGUGACUUAGAAGAUAAAUUGAUUUAAUCUAAUAGUUAUGUGAUGAAAAACUCAUAAUAUAUUUAUUAUUUUUAUUAAAAUUAUUAUUUAAAGUCUUAUUUAUUAUAUAUUAUUAAUUUUUAUUUUAUAGUUACAAAUUUUUUCCACAA